AUGGAGACCUCCCUGCGGCUGCGCGGCGCCGACUCCACCUCCAGCCAGCAGCUCGGCCUCCGCAUCCACGCCAAGCAGAAGGUGCCCCUCACCUACAACGCACUCCUACAACUCGCAAUCUUGCCACCCCAUGUCUUCUACUUCUACUGA
rnacentral:rRNA from 1 species